rnacentral:rRNA from 1 species
UACGUAGGGUGCAAGCGUUGUCCGGAAUUAUUGGGCGUAAAGAGCUCGUAGGCGGUUCGUCGCGUCUGCUGUGAAAACCCGAGGCUCAACCUCGGGCCUGCAGUGGGUACGGGCAGACUAGAGUGCGGUAGGGGAGAUUGGAAUUCCUGGUGUAGCGGUGGAAUGCGCAGAUAUCAGGAGGAACACCGAUGGCGAAGGCAGAUCUCUGGGCCGUAACUGACGCUGAGGAGCGAAAGCAUGGGUAGCGAACAGG